rnacentral:tRNA from 1 species
UAAGGUAUAGCUCAGUGGUAGAAUGCUUGUUUGGCAUGCACAAGGUCCUGGGUUCAAUUCCCAGUUACCUUCA